rnacentral:lncRNA from 1 species
GAAGCUACGUGGGAUUUGGGCUCUGUGGGGUUUGGGCUCUGUGGGAUUUGGGCUCUGUAGGAUUUCUUAGGAGGUUCUGUGGGGUUUGGACUCUGUGGGAUUUGGGCUCUGUGGGAUCUCUCAGGAGGCUCUGUGGGAUUUGGGCUCUGUGGGUUUUGGACUCUGGGAUUUGGGCUCUAUGGGAUUUGGGCUCUGUAGGAUUUCUUAGGAGGUUCUGUGGGGUUUGGGCUCUGAGGGGUUUGGGCUUUCUGGCAUCUCUCAGGAGGCUCUGUGGGGUUUGGGCUCUGUGGGAUUUGGGCUCUAUGGGAUUUGGGCUCUGUAGGAUUUCUUAGGAGGUUCUGUGGGGUUUGGGCGGGGGGGGGGGGGGGGGGGGGGGGGGGGGGGGGGGGGGGGGGGGGGGGGGGGGGGGGGGGGGGGGGGGGGGGGGGGGGGGGGGGGGGGGGGGGGGGGGGGGGGGGGGGGGGGGGGGGGGGGGGGGGGGGGGGGGGGGGGGGGGGGGGGGGGGGGGGGGGGGGGGGGGGGGGGGGGGGGGGGGGGGGGGGGGGGGGGG